rnacentral:rRNA from 1 species
CCUACGGGGUGCAGCAGUGAGGAAUAUUGGUCAAUGGGCGGGAGCCUGAACCAGCCAAGUCGCGUGAGGGAAGACGGUCCUAUGGAUUGUAAACCUCUUUAGGCGGGGAGCAAUGCCGGGCACGCGUGCCCGGAGGGAGAGUACCCGCAGAAUAAGCAUCGGCUAACUCCGUGCCAGCAGCCGCGGUAAUACGGAGGAUGCGAGCGUUAUCCGGAGUUAUUGGGUGUAAAGGGUGCGUAGACGGGAAAACAAGUUAGUUGUGAAAUCACUCGGCUUAACUGAGGAACUGCAACUAAAACUAUUUUUCUUGAGUGCAGGAGAGGUAAGUGGAAUUCCUAAUGUAGCGGUGACAUGCGUAGAUAUUAGGAGGAACACCAGUGGCGAAGGCGACUUACUGGACUGUAACUGACGUUGAGGCACGAAAGUGUGGGGAGCAAACAGGAUUAGAUACCCUAGUAGUC